AUGCAUGAACAAGUUAAAUUCUUAUUACAAAUCUACACAAGGCUUAACUACAUAAACGAAUUUCAAACUAAAAACAGCACAAGGGGAACGGGAAAAAAACAUUACAGAAGAAAGAAAAGGAAAAGGGGCCCUCAAUCAUUGCCAACGACUCAGAUUCGACGAGCCGCUGAAGCCUCCUCUCGUCAUCCAUCCACCACGGUUCAACUCCAGCCACCACACGCAAGACUACUGCUCCGCUUCAGUACCUCCAUGACCAAACUGCUGUAG